UCUACCGUGUGGAAAAUUUUUCGGUCUGGGAUGGGCUCGCGGCCUAUCAGCUUGUUGGUGAGGUAGUGGCUCACCAAGGCGACGACGGGUAGCCGGCCUGAGAGGGCGACCGGCCACACUGGGACUGAGACACGGCCCAGACUCCUACGGGAGGCAGCAGUGGGGAAUAUUGCACAAUGGGCGAAAGCCUGAUGCAGCGACGCCGCGUGAGGGAUGACGGCCUUCGGGUUGUAAACCUCUUUCAGCAGGGAAGAAGCGCAAGUGACGGUACCUGCAGAAGAAGCACCGGCUAACUACGUGCCAGCAGCCGCGGUAAUACGUAGGGUGCGAGCGUUGUCCGGAAUUAUUGGGCGUAAAGAGCUUGUAGGUGGUUUGUCGCGUCUGCUGUGAAAAUCCGAGGCUCAACCUCGGACUUGCAGUGGGUACGGGCAGACUAGAGUGUGGUAGGGGAGACUGGAAUUCCUGGUGUAGCGGUGGAAUGCGCAGAUAUCAGGAGGAACACCGAUGGCGAAGGCAGGUCUCUGGGCCAUUACUGACACUGAGAAGCGAAAGCAUGGGGAGCGAACAGGAUUAGAUACCCUGGUAGUCCAUGCCGUAAACGUUGGGAACUAGGUGUGGGUCUCAUUCCACGAGAUCCGUGCCGCAU
rnacentral:rRNA from 1 species